UGAGCAAUCUGCCCUUCUCUUCGGAAUAAGCGUUGGAAACGACGUCUAAUGCCGAAUACGACCUCCUUUCGCAUGAUCGGAGGUGGAAAGCUCCGGCGGAGAAGGAUGAGCUCGCGGCCUAUCAGCUAGUUGGUGUGGGUAAUGGCCCACCAAGGCGACGACGGGUAGCCGGCCUGAGAGGGUGACCGGCCACACUGGGACUGAGACACGGCCCAGACUCCUACGGGAGGNAGCG
rnacentral:rRNA from 1 species